CCUGGCCUGCAGGGAAAGUCAUUCACUCUACAUUAUGUUUACUGGGGCCAACAGUAAUGAGUCCUAUGUGGCAAUGCAUGACAGGGAAACAGGAAGAACUAAGGGCUCAGGUAUUCCUAAUUUUUUUCAACA